CGCUGCUAGGAGCGGCAGCGCGCGUGGCCUCCCCGGCCGAGCUCAGCCGCCGCGAGCAAGGAGCGCCAGGGGGGAGAAGUUCUGCGGCAACUUUGCUCGUCUCCUAUUGGAAAGGGGAGGUGAGCAGACGUGGGGGCGGAGCGGGAUUUCCGUCGCACGGGGGUAAUGCCGGGUUCUCCAGAGAGGCCUCUGGGGUCACAGGCGGGGCAGAGCCCGAGCUGCGCAGGCUGGGGGUGGAGCUCUGUGCCAGCCUGCUGCCGCCGGGGGAAGCCCUGCGCCGGGCUGGCCGGGAGCCAGGCCGCAGCGGCAGGAGGCUCCUCCGUGCCCGGCCCCCACUGUGCGUGCGGGGAGCGCGCCUGACCCAGCCAUUGUUUCCUAUCUCCGCACCGGCGUCAGUGGAAAAUCUCCCCACCUGCCGCGCCUGGGUCGGGCUAUUUAUCCGGCAGCGCUGCCGUCACGGAGAGCGGCGCUGCUGACGGGGGAGCUGACGCUCUUGUCCGCUACCGCCGGGCUUGUGGCGGCUACAGUGGGGCUCUGGGUGGCGCUGGGAACGGGGCGCGGACCCCGCCGCAGCCCCCGCUUUCGCCUCCUCCUGGCCCCGGCUGCGGCAAGUGGGGGCCGGGCGCUGCUGCUAGCGCCGCCCCCGGGACGCGCCUGGCCUUGUCCUGCCUCCCCUCCUCUGGCGGCGCCCGGGCUGAGCCUGGGGAGCGCGGCUGGGGCACGGCGCGGAUGGGAGGGACGCGCGGCGGACAGCGCAGGCAAGAGAGGAGCCAGACUUGAUUGCAGCAGAAAACUCAAUUUGAAGACACACAGCAAUUCUCAGAAGUCGCAUUCUCUCAAGAAUUCAAUAUAUGGGACAAAUUUUUAUUAUGAAACUACUGCCAAAGUCAAGCUACCUCUCUUUGCUCCUAACUCCAAGUGUAGUACAUCACUACACCGUUUAAAGUGAUUGUUAUGUUGCCUUUUAAAACAGAUUCCUAAAGUGGUUUUAAUGAAAAGGUAGUGCUCUUACUUUCACUCUAUGUAACUUUACUCCGUGAAUUAAGUUUUUGCUUUUUUCAGAAUUCUGUUCCUGUCAUUGAUCCCACUGAAGUCACUGAGAGUUUUACCAUUGACAUCAAUAGGGUAAUGCAUAUACAGUGUUUCAUACGUUUUUGAGAUGAGGGAAAAUACUAUUUCAUGCAAACCUUUAUUAACCAUUUAAUUAAAAGUUCCCUGGUUAAGGUUUAAUUUCUAAAUUGUGAUGUAUUUUAAAUGUAUAUACAGAUAGUGUAAUAUAUACAAUAAAAUAUUAUAAUUGA